AGCGUUGUUCGGAAUUACUGGGCGUAAAGCGUACGUAGGCGGCUUUGUAAGUUAGAGGUGAAAGCCCGGGGCUCAACUCCGGAAUAGCCUUUAAGACUGCAUCGCUCGAAUUGUGGAGAGGUAAGUGGAAUUCCGAGUGUAG
rnacentral:rRNA from 1 species